UAGCGGCAGGCUUAACACAUGCAAGUCGAACGGUAACAGAGAAGAGCUUGCUCUUUUGCUGACGAGUGGCGCACGGGUGCGUAACGCGUAUACAAUCUACCUUUUACAGAGGGAUAGCCUUUAGAAAUGAAGAUUAAUACCUCAUAGUAAAUAGUAAUGGCAUCAUUAUAAUUUAAAAGUUUCGGCGGUAAAAGAUGAGUAUGCGUUCUAUUAGCUAGAUGGUGUGGUAACGGCACACCAUGGCGACGAUAGAUAGGGGCCCUGAGAGGGGGAUCCCCCACACUGGUACUGAGACACGGACCAGACUCCUACGGGAGGCAGCAGUGAGGAAUAUUGGACAAUGGGCGCGAGCCUGAUCCAGCCAUGCCGCGUGCAGGAAGACGGCCCUAUGGGUUGUAAACUGCUUUUAUACGGGAAGAAAAAGAGCUACGUGUAGCUUACUGACGGUACCGUAAGAAUAAGGACCGGCUAACUCCGUGCCAGCAGCCGCGGUAAUACGGAGGAUCCAAGCGUUAUCCGGAAUCAUUGGGUUUAAAGGGUCCGUAGGUGGAUAAUUAAGUCAGAGGUGAAAUCCUGCAGCUCAACUGUAGAAUUGCCUUUGAUACUGGUUAUCUUGAGAGUUAUUGUGAAGUGGUUAGAAUAUGUAGUGUAGCGGUGAAAUGCAUAGAUAUUACAUAGAAUACCAAUUGCGAAGGCAGAUCACUAACAAUACACUGACACUGAUGGACGAAAGCGUGGGUAGCGAACAGGAUUAGAUACCCUGGUAGUCCACGCCGUAAACGAUGGACACUAGUUGUUGGAUUUAUUAUUUCAGUGACUAAGCGAAAGUGACUAGUGUCCCACCUGGGGUGUACGAUCGCAAGAUUGAAACUCAAAGGAAUUGACGGGGGCCCGCACAAGCGGAGGAGCAUGUGGUUUAAUUCGAUGAUACGCGAGGAACCUUACCAGGGCUUAAAUGUAGGAUGCAUUAGGUAGAGAUAGCUAUUUCUUCGGACUACUUACAAGGUGCUGCAUGGUUGUCGUCAGCUCGUGCCGUGAGGUGUCAGGUUAAGUCCUAUAACGAGCGCAACCCCUAUCGUUAGUUGCUAGCAGGUCAUGCUGAGGACUCUAACGAGACUGCCGGUGCAAACCGCGAGGAAGGUGGGGAUGACGUCAAAUCAUCACGGCCCUUACGUCCUGGGCUGCACACGUGCUACAAUGGUAUAUACAGAGAGCAGCCACCUGGUGACAGGGAGCGAAUCUAUAAAGUAUAUCACAGUUCGGAUCGGAGUCUGCAACUCGACUCCGUGAAGCUGGAAUCGCUAGUAAUCGGAUAUCAGCCAUGAUCCGGUGAAUACGUUCCCGGGCCUUGUACACACCGCCCGUCCAGCCAUGGAAGCUGGGAGUCCCUGAAGUCGGUCACCGCAAGGAGCCGCCUAGGGUAAAACUGGUAACUAGGGCUA
rnacentral:rRNA from 1 species